CUGGAUCCUGCUUUGGAUUCUGUCUCUCCCCCUCUCUCUCUGCCCUCCCCUGCUUGUGUUCUCUCUAGAGUCUCAAAAAUAAACGUUAAAAUAUGAUGGGGUUUUUGUUUGUUUUGUUUUUGCUGAAAGAUGUGGUUUAUUGUACAAUAUACUCAAUUGAUUAGGAACUGCCAGAUAGUACCUAUAACAUAUCUUAUACACAUCUGAGGCUGC